rnacentral:rRNA from 1 species
GACGAACGCUGGCGGCGUGCUUCAUACAUGCAAGUCGAGCGGACACCAUCCGGUGGCAACACUGGUGAAGUGUUAGCGGCGAACGGGUGAGUAACGCGUGAGCAACCUGCCCCAAGUCUGGGAUAACCCCGGGAAACCGGAGCUAAUACCGGAUGCCCUCAUCGGGUCGCAUGGCCUGAUGAGGAAAGUUUUUCGCUUGGGGAGGGGCUCGCGACCUAUCAGCUUGUUGGCGGGGUAACGGCCCACCAAGGCGUCGACGGGUAGCUGGUC